UGUUCUAUGGCCGAACUGGUAAAGGCAUUGCCGAUCACAGGCACGGUUGCGGGUUCAAGUCCCGCUGGAGCGG
rfam:Operophtera brumata OBRT01_Sc00146, whole genome shotgun sequence.